AAAGCUCAAAUUUAAAAUCUGGCUGCCUCCGGUGGUCCGAGUUGUAAUCUGGAGAAGCGUUUUCCGCGUCGGACCGUGUACAAGUCUUCUGGAACGGAGCGUCAUAGAGGGUGAGAAUCCCGUCUCUGACACGGACUACCGAUGCUUUUGUGAUGCGCUCUCGAAGAGUCGAGUUGUUUGGGAAUGCAGCUCAAAAUGGGAGGUAAAUUCCUUCUAAAGCUAAAUAUUGGCUAGAGACCNAUAGCGAA
rnacentral:rRNA from 1 species